GAUAAGCCCGUUUGUAUGUUGUAUAAGUUGGUGUGUCUGUUGUAACUUGUAUAAGUUGCCAGUUUCUUUCCCAAGUUAAUAACUAAAGUUUUUGCACAACAGUCUAUAGUCUCCCAAUAGCAGUUAUACUUCAAGCUCCUUUUCCUUAUCUUGUAAUUUUGCAUGAAUUUUUGAAUGAAUAAUAAUCACUGAGUCACACUUGUGUAAUAC